CCAACAAGGACGACACGUCAUCAAUUCGUUCAAGGAGAGCGCGACACCUGUCCUCAUUAAACAAAACGCAGCGCUCCAACCUAAUUCUCGCCUUUGUUCAUGCGAGUCUGAUUUCGGCGAGAAUGACGAUCGAUAGUUCUCGCUCUGUCUGUAACGGAACUCGACUUUAAUGGCAUUAAUACAGACGCAGUACGAGCUCUUCGAUGCGUCGUUUCCGUCGGCGAGUCUCUGCUAUAAAUUUGCUCUAAGACUGCGAUGUUUGGCCUCACCCUAACGCAUUUAGAGAAGCUCAACUCUGUCAGCGACAAUCUGUACCAAUAGAUCGGAGAAGUUGCGAAUCCAUAUAAGAAGCAACGAACCAUGACGAGAAAGUCUUCAGCUUCCACUGUGACAGGUGACAAGAGGUUUGGCUAUGACCUAGGAAGAACUCAGUCAACAAGAGAAAUCAACUAUGGAAGCCAUUGUUGACGAGAGCUCAUAUGCUUUGUCGAUUGUUAUAGUCAGUGUUGGAGACGUCCCAUGGGUAGACAUGAGGAAGUUCGAUGACAUGAUCCCUAAGCGUGAAUUCAAUAACUUUCUUCUCCGAUUUAAAGUCCGCCAAGAAUUUUUUUUCUCCGAUUUGAAGUCAGGCUAAACUUGCUCUCGAGGCUCUUGAAUUUCCUGUGGGGAUGUGUCAUUCUUGAGGAGGGUAACAUCGUUUCUUCAGGGCGUAACCGAACUAAUGAGACAGGCAAUUCUUAGACAUAAGAUAUCCUUUGUAGACCCUAAAUAUCACACUACAAACUUAUUAGAAAAAAAUCGGCCUUAUUAAUUGAAGUCUGUGAUCUCUGUUUUUUUUUAUAGUGAAGAAGCUCAAAAAGGAAAAGUGCAGAGGAAUAAUGGCAGACGCAGCUGUAUCUCUUUUCAACUCUGGUCUUUGAUGAAACAUCUUAAACACAGUUUUUUUUUUUUUUGUAGUUUAAGCCCCAAAGCCACACCGCCCUGUAGUUCAAAGAGAGAGGACUUAGCCUCUUAGACGCGGACAUGGUUUGAAAAUUGGAGUUUCUGAUUAAAAUAUGAAGAAGUUGAGGUGGAGGUUGUCAAAUGAUGAUUCUAUGUUUGUUUUUGCUACAUUUGGCACAUGAAACGUUAUCAAUUACAUCCAAAACAAUUGUAUAUCCGCCUAAGUUGGAGCUUUCAAUCUCAAGCUACUAAGUUGGUUUUCUAACUUAAGGAAUUAGUUGUAUGUGACUGUAAAGUUUUAUUUUUGUACGGGUAGAUGAUAGACAUGACCAUCAUUAGAAGAAUAAAAGAUUAACUCAGUUUUUAUUU